UGAAAGUCCUCUUUUGUGAGUGUCUUUAGUUACACUGUUGUGGCUGCCUCAGUGCCCUGAAUCAAUUAAAACCAUUUACCUUUCAAAUUUGGGGAAGAGCCAGAAGUUGCACAAUGCCAGAUCUGGUGAAUAAGGUGGACGAGGACGCGCCAUGUUUUUACGAGCCUGUCUUUCCAUUGGAUGGCACUCAGCAGUGGCAUUCACUGUAUAUUUCGAUCACAUUUGUAUGUUACACUCUUCUGAGGCUACUUACUAUUUGUUAACGAGAUAAUACCUAUCUUGUAAUUUUUAUGUGGAUGCAAAUUGCUAUAUACCCAGUUCCUGGCAUAUGAUAAGUAAUCAUUAAAUGAGAGCCAGUUAUUAUUGAUGGUGUUAUUGAUGUCAGUGCCCAGAAUUUUAGAAGCAUUGUGACAGUUUACUCAAAUGUCUCAGUCAGGAGGUGAUUACAUGAAGAUCAGCUUUCAGCUCAGUCUGGCCCUUUACCAAAAACCUUUCAGUUCAUGAGGCGUAGCCCUCUUUAUUAUAAGAGGGUCAAAACCAUACCCACCUUUGGUAUUUCACUGUACGUUUAAAUGAACAGCCUACAGAAAUUUAUUAACCUGAUUUUUUCCCCAUUUCUUAAUAGGAAAAUUUCUGGCAAUGCCAUGCUACAGUUGGGCCCCUUCUUAUAUUGGACAUUUCUGGCUGCCUUUGAAGGGACAGUGUUCUUCUUUGGGACUUACUUUCUUUUUCAUACUGCAUCUCUAGAAGAAAAUGGAAAGGUCUAUGGAAACUGGACUUUUGGAACCAUUGUUUUCACGGUCCUAGUAUUCACUGUAACUCUGAAGCUCGCCUUGGAUACUCGGUUCUGGACAUGGAUAAAUCACUUUGUGAUUUGGGGUUCUUUAGCCUUUUAUAUAUUUUUCUCAUUCUUCUGGGGAGGAAUUAUUUGGCCUUUUCUUAAACAACAGAGAAUGUAUUUCGUAUUUGCUCAAAUGCUGUCUUCUGUAUCCACAUGGUUGGCCAUAAUUCUUCUAAUAUUUGUUAGCCUUUUCCCUGAGAUUCUCCUGAUAGUAUUAAAGAAUGUAAGAAGAAGAAGUGCCAGGGUAACGAAACGCCUCCCUUCCUCAGGAACAUCUACUAUCUUCAUGCUUUCUCAAACUUCCAGCAAUCACAGUUUCUCUUGGAGUGAAUAAGAAUCCGAAUCUUGAACUGCCUAUGUUAUUGUCCUACAAGCAUAUUGACAGUGGUUACAGCUAAAACAGAAACCAUGAAGAAACAACUACAAAAAUUUAUCACCUCAGGAUUCUUGAUAUGCAACAAAAACUAGAUCACUCUCUUAUGUCUAGGGUUCACAAUAAAUGCCGAUUGAAAUACUAAGUGGUUAUCCUAAGCAUUUCCAGUUAUUGUAAGUAGCCAUUAGAGCCAAAGCUGUAAGUUAAGAAUUAUAUGAAAGUUGAAAGCAAGAGUACUUAGAUUUCUGGCUUUAGAUAGCAUAAUGUAACUACCAGAUGGGUCCUUUUUUAACCCAUUGACUUUGUGAAUGGAUUUAAAUACAGUAUAAAGUAGAAGUCAUGCAGUGGGAAUGAACAGAUUUUGCUAAUACAGUAUUACUUUUUUUUGCUUGUCAAAAGACAUAGGCUGGAAUACAUUUCUCGUUCCUGCUGAAUGUUCAUCUUAAAUUAUUUUUUAAGCACACAAAUGGAAUACUUGAAAAUACAGGACUAAAAAUAGUAUCAGUGCAUCAGACAGAAUGGUUCAUCCUUUCUGUUCACCCACAUACUGAUUAUGCCUUGGUAAACUAUCCUUGCCAAAAAGUACCUUGAACACUUCUCUGGAAAGUGUUAACUCUGGGUGUGACUGUGGAACAAAAAGAUGUUUGUUUUUGUUCUUCUGAAUUAAACACUUAUAGGUGUAAGGCUACUAGACUUGAAAGUAAAAUAUAAAACAUUUCACUCACUUAGUAGACCCUCAAAGUAGGAAAUAAACAGAUUUUCCCAAUGUCAGUUUUACUGCGCUCUGAGGUAGGUGCAUAACAACUGUAUUUGUCCCAAAAUAAAGCCAUUCUGAACAUCAGCCUUUUAUAAUUUUACGUGGAGAGAAGGCAAAGAAUAUCUAAUUUUAAACUGUUAACGGUUUUUAUUUGAAAGAGUUUGCAUUUGUGCAUAUAGCAAGCACUUUGUUUUAUCCUGCUUAUUUGGGAUGAAGAAAGAUCCAUCCCAACACGGUUUAGCCUGUAGAACCAUGACUCUGCAAACAUACAUGCUGUCUCUCAUAGCUAAUGUGACCAGGCCAGCGGUCUAAUUCUAAACCAUGAGAGUGACCUCGGUCAGGUCCUUAACUUAGUGGACUAGAAAGAGGUUUUCACUUCUUAAUGAGUUCACUUAAAAUAGAAAACUAAAUGUGAAAUGUGUUUAUUCAGUGUUAAAAUUACACACCUUUUAAAAAUAGAAAUGACCACAUUUGACUGCUAGAUUAAAGUGGUCUUCAACAAAUAUUUUCAUUAUCAGUUUCUAUUUUUGUCUUUUUGGCAUGCCUGUACUAUUAUUAAUGUUUAUAUUGUACAUUGAUUUGGAAAAGUGUUAGAUUCAAUCUGUACCAAUAUAUUUAUAUAGUCCACAUGGCACAUUUGAUUCUUCCAUGUGUAUAUAUUUUGUGUUAAUACUUAGAUGUAAUUUUUCUUAAAUCUAGAAAGGACAUUAUUUCAGUUAUCAGAAACUAUUCCAUCAUUACUGAUCCCUUUUGUUAUUUAAUUUGUUCUCACCUAUCAGUAUUAUUUUUACAUAUUUUGUUAGAUGUCAUUCACAGCUUACCUAAGUGUGCUGUGUUCUAGUAGCCUAUAUUUGAGGUGAUCUGCUGAAGACAAAGUCUUUAUAUUUUUUGCCUAUUCCAAAGAGCUAAAAAAUACGUAAUCCAGGAAAGUUGUUGAUGUUUUAUUGUUGUUGUUGUUCUUGUUUUUGUAGUUAUUGUUGCCACAUUGUUGUUUUAUAUAAGAACUCCAGGGACUGUGAAUACAAACAAAAGAGUGAAGGUAGAGAGGCUUAUUUAAUGCAGAACCACUAGAGUUGUCAUAAUCAGAAUAUCCAGAAUAGUAAAAAUAAAACUAGUUGCAUGUAAAAUGUUUUACAGCCAGAAAGAAACUUAGAUGAGUAAAGGGGAUUUAGAGUCACGUCUCAGCUACACAUUACACUGUGCACUGCAGCUAAAAUUCUGAGUACCAGUGAUGUGUGCAAUGUGUAAGAUCACUGCCCAGAUCCUUGCUAGGGACCUGGAUUUUCAUUUUCAAAGAUAUUUUUAUUAAUGAGCUAAAAUAAAAUUGGCUAGCUUGGGGUUACAAGUGAAACAACUUAAAAUAACCCAUUCCAGUAUUCCUAGCACUGCAACAGAACCAUCCUAUUUUGUGACAGAGGAGAGAAAAUGUAAUAAUAGGACCAGAUACUUAUAAUUUGAAUAAGUUUGAGCUAUCAAAAUGUCCUUAUAAUUUUCACAUCUGUCGUCCAUUGUUUGAGGAUGUUAACUAUUAAACUGAAAAUAUUCAUUCCGUAUCUACCGCAUAUACACCAGCAACGGUAUAGAUGUAAGCUUAAAUUUGCAAAAUUCAUAAUUUAGUCAUGGAAUUUUAAAAUAACAUGCAGUAUAUAAAUGUGCAGAUUUUAUGCAAAUGUUGACAAAAUCAUUUUUCCGCUUGCAAAAUGGAACUUCAAUAUUACAUUUUUCACUUCAGCAAUUUUUUACAUCUCUGUUACUGCUUUUAAAAUGAAUGUGAAUGCCAUCUUUAAUGAAUGCAACUUUCCUUUUUCAUUAAAAAAUGUUUUGUUUGAUGUAAUCAAUAAACUUUGGUAUGAUAUGAUUGAUAUUUUAGCGUCUUUUUGGGAAAGGUCUCAGUUUGACAUCAAAAUAG
rnacentral:lncRNA from 1 species